AUCAGAUCCCACCCCAGCUUUACAUGGAAUUCUGGGGGAUUGUGCUGAUCCAGCUGAGAGCAGAACUGGCCCAGUGCAUGAUUCUGGAAAAGCCACUGAAUUUAACUCACAGUUUUUUAGGAGCUCUCCCAGAGGAAAAGCGUGGGCUGCACAAAUCCCCAUCUGCCCCAGCUGUGAUAACCUUCCUGCAGACACAGGACCAGAGCUGGGGACCAGGGGAAGGCAUUUGAAAUCCUGCCAAUCCAGCCAAUUGCUCCAGAAUUAAGCUGCAGUCUUGUCCAUCGAGGAGCUAGACAGCAGUGCAGGAAACUGGGAUCCAGUUUGGGUCUCAGUUUCCAUCAGAUAUUGGGAUGAGGGGGAGGGAGAAGCUGAUUCCUGCACCUGGAAAGACAGCAAAUGUUGAAGAUAGAAGACACAAGUCUCCUCUCUCCAAAAUAUUCUUUUCUUUGGGGGAAAAAAAAACCCCAAAAAACAAAACAAAACAACCAAACAUACAACUACAAAAAGAAAUCCACCAAAACCCCCACAAAAAAAACCAAAUAAAAAAAAAACCAAAAAAAACCCGCACCCCAAAAAAUAAAAAGCAAACAAACAAAAACAAGCCCCAAAGGCAAACAACCCCAACCCACUUCGUAUUUACUACUGAAAUAAAGUUUCAAAAAUUCAGAUAACAUCCAAGAUCCAAGUGCCCAUUACUAUAGAGUCUGGUGAAGUAAAGUGGGGUUUAAGUCACUCCUAUUCAGAAGUACAAAAUUGUUAUAAACAUCUUUUGCUACCUCUAUUUUCUUGAUGUUGAAAA